ACUCAAAUGAAUUGACGGGGGCCCGCACAAGCGGCGGAGCAUGCGGAUUAAUUCGAUGCAACGCGAAGAACCUUACCAAGGCUUGACAUACACGAGAACGGGCCAGAAAUGGUCAACUCUUUGGACACUCGUGAACAGGUGGUGCAUGGUUGUCGUCAGCUCGUGUCGUGAGAUGUUGGGUUAAGUCCCGCAACGAGCGCAACCCUCGUUCUAUGUUGCCAGCGCGUAAUGGCGGGAACUCAUAGGAGACUGCCGGGGUCAACUCGGAGGAAGGUGGGGAUGACGUCAAAUCAUCAUGCCCCUUAUGUCUUGGGCUUCACGCAUGCUACAAUGGCCGGUACAAAGGGCUGCAAUACCGUAAGGUGGAGCGAAUCCCAAAAAGCCGGUCUCAGUUCGGAUUGAGGUCUGCAACUCGACCUCAUGAAGUCGGAGUCGCUAGUAAUCGCAGAUCAGCAACGCUGCGGUGAAUACGUUCCCGGGCCUUGUACACACCGCCCGU
rnacentral:rRNA from 1 species